UCUUUCGCGAGAAAGAAUCCGAAGGAAGCUGGACGCAAACACUCGCCCUGACGAACAGAAAUCUCAUACAAGGCUGGAUGGAGAUGGACGAGCUUGCCAAACAAAGCGAAGUCCGAUACUGCACGAGUCUCCUACAGUAAAUGAGGCAGUGACAUGAGUGGAAGGUUAUAACU
rfam:Carnobacterium sp. CP1, complete genome.